rnacentral:rRNA from 1 species
CCUACGGGUGGCAGCAGUGGGGGAUAUUGCGCAAUGGGGGAAACCCUGAUGCAGCGACGCCGCGUGUGGGAAGACGGUCCUCUGGAUUUUAAACCACUGUCCCCAGGGACGAAGAUGACGGUACCUGGGGAGGAAGCUCCGGCUAACUACGUGCCAGCAGCCCCGGUAAUACGUAGGGAGCGAGCGUUGUCCGGAAUUACUGGGUGUAAAGGGAGCGUAGGCGGGAGCGCAAGUCAGAUGUGAAAACUCAUGGCUCAACCCUGGGCCUGCAUUUGACACUGUGUUUCUUGAGUGCUGGAGAGGCAAGCGGAAUUCCGAGUGUAGCGGUGAAAUGCGUAGAUAUACGGAGGAACACCAGUGGCGAAGGCGGAUUGCUGGACAGUAACUGACGCUGAGGCGCGAAAGCGUGGGGAGCAAACAGGAUUAGAUACCCUUGUAGUC